GGGCCCCCCACAGAGAAUGGGGGGGGGGGGCUCACAGGAAGGACCCUCAUGCAGCUCUAGGGCCGGGUGAAGGCCUGGACUGAGCGCCCAGCUGAAUCCCAGUGUGGAUACAGGUCUCGGCGAUGCUCGUGGUGGUCCCUGUCUAUGGGACUGACCGUCAGAGCCAGAGGAAACUGGGUCCCAGGGAGGGAGGCGACUGUACCCGGAGUCUGCUGCCCGCCUCCAGCACACGCACAGGCUCAGCUUCUUCCCAUGCCCUGUCCUUCAGGGGACCCUGGGGGGACCUCAGAUGGGGCUCCCGGAGCAGGGGAGCAGAGCGCUCCCUAGACCCUUGGCUGCACACAGCGACGGCAGCCCCGCUCCAGUCCCCUUGGCUUGUCACGCGUGGACCUUUAAUUCUGGGCCAGGCUUUCUCUCAUUCCCAGAAAUUGCUCUGUAGCCCCCCUGGCUCCCACCCACCGCCAGGACAGGGAUGUGAUCGGCUCCACCGGCAGGCCACCUCGAGGAGAAGGCCAUUCCACCCAGAAACUCGGGCCAUGUGGGGCUCCCAGGAGCUGCUUCCGCUCUGGUUCCUGGUGCUGGCAGCAGGCGGCACGGAGCACGUCUACCGGCCUGGACGCAGGGUGUGUGUCGUCGGGGCUCCCCAGGGCCCUGUGUCCGAGUCCUUUGUGCAGCGUGUAUACCAGCCCUUCCUCACCACCUGCGACGGGUACCGAGCCUGCAGCACCUACCGGUUUCGCUGGGUUUCUGCCAAGCCUGGGCGUCCUGCUCCACACAGCAGCUGGGGGCAGGGAGGCGGCUCCGGCGGUGACCCUGAGGUGCCCUCCCCAGGGGAGAGGCCCUCUGGGGACACAUCCGCUGACCUCGUCCAUGCUGGGGGAGACGGCUCAUGCAGCUCCCGAACCACACGGGGCCGGAGCCAGCCCAGAAGGACCCUCUACAGGACCGCCUACCGCCGCCGCCCCGGGCCGGCCCCCGCCCGGCCUCGCUAUGCCUGCUGCCCCGGCUGGAAGCGGACCGGCGGGCUGCCGGGGACCUGUGGGGCAGCAGUAUGCCAGCCACCAUGCCAGAACGGAGGGAGCUGUGUCCAGCCUGGCCGCUGCCACUGCCCCGCAGGAUGGCAGGGCGACGCCUGCCAGACCGAUGUGGACGAGUGCCGCACCGGAGGGGGCGGCUGUCCCCAGCGCUGUGUCAACACGGCGGGCAGUUACUGGUGCCGGUGUCGGGAGGGCCACCGGCCAUCUGUGGACGGGGCAGCGUGCCUGCCUGAGAGAGGGGCCCCCAGGGUGACCCCAGGCCCCGCGACAGGAGCAGACAGUGAGGUCAAGGAGGAAGUACAGAGGCUCCAGUCGAGGGUGGACGUGCUGGAGCAGAACGGACAGGGCGAGGGGCUGGCCCGGGGUCACACAGGUCUCCCCCCGACUCCCCGGGGCCUUGCCAACCCCGCAGAAGCUGCAGCUCGUGCUGGCCCCGCUGCACAGCCUGGCCUCGCGCGCCCUGGAGCACGGGCUCCCUGACCCGGGCAGCCUCCUGGCCCACUCCCUCCGGCAGCUGGACCGCAUCGACUCUCUGAGCGAGCAGAUCUCCUUCCUGGAGGAGCAGCUGGGCUCCUGUUCUUGCAAGAAGGAGGUGUGACAGGCCCACCAGCCCAGUCCUGGCUACCCGGAGAAACUCUCCUCACCCCUGCCCCGCCCUGCCCCACCUCUGCUGACCACGGUGGCCCCAGGGCCCACCGCCCCCCUCCCCCGGGGCGGGGCGGGGUGAGGGUCAUCCUGUAUGAAUCCAGCUCCAGCCAGCCAGCCCCCUGCACCGCGGCUGACUCUCGGGGCCUGUGGGCCCACGGCUGGGGACGGUACGAGGCACCCUGCCCAGGGUCUGGGGCCUGCGCCCCUCGCUGGGCAACCCUGUCCUUUGUGAGAAUAAAAUUUGAGACUUGA